rnacentral:lncRNA from 1 species
ACUGGUAAAGUACUUGAAUAUGGUAUCGCUGUGACAAAUUAAUGGUGCAUCACAAUAUUCAUGUCCAAAAAAGGUGUUAGUAAAGUACUUGAUUAUGGUAUCGCUGUGACAAAUUAAUGGUGCAUCACAAUAUUCAUGUCCAAAAAAGGUGUUAUUACCAUGAAGCUUUCAAUAUUUUACAGGUAUACAUGUGCAGAUCCUGACUUAUGAAUCACUUUGAAAACACAGACUGAAGCAUGAAAAAUCAGUACCUUGAUUCGCAAUAUAGAUGAGUUAGCAAUGCAUAUAAUGAUUGCUAUUCUCCUGAG